rnacentral:lncRNA from 7 species
CUCUGUAGCUGACAGGCUGGGAGGAGAGGAAAGAAAACGAAGGAGGAGUGCUCUGGGCGGGGAGUGGAGAAACAAAAAUCUGGGCGCAUUUAGAGCAUCAGGUCCUGGGGGUGUUGUUCAGCUGCAGUGCACUCUUAAUUCAGGCGGACCCUGCCUGAGUUGAGUUUCUCAGCAGAUUGUCAGUCCCUGUUGGAGCAGACUGCCAUCUAGACCUGACUCCUGAGUUUAAAAUGCAAUGGCCAGAAGACAAGAAAGUAUCUGUGGAAGGCCGUGGACGUGGACGCCAGGACUACUGAUGCUGAUCAUCCUUGGCAUUCAUCAGGGGAGUGGGCAAGGUCAAGCUAGGAAUGACAGCAGGACAUGGAAAUGAAAGUAGCUACGCGCCAGAUGGAAAUCCUCAUGAAAAGUUCUUGAUGGAAUGGUUUCAGCAUCAU